rnacentral:rRNA from 1 species
AACGAACGCUGGCGGCAGGCUUCAUACAUGCAAGUCGAGCGGAAAGGCCCCUUCGGGGGUACUCGAGCGGCGAACGGGUGAGUAACAGGUGGACAAUCUGCCUUUCGGUGGGGGAUAACGGUUGGAAACGGCCGCUAAUACCGCAUACGAUUGUUUGGCCGCAUGGUUGAACAAGGAAAGGGGCUACUGCCCCGCCGGAAGAUGAGUCCGCCCCCCAUUAGCUAGUUGGUGAGAUAACAGCCCACCAAGGCUUCGAUGGGUAGCCGAGCUGAGAGGUUGAUCGGCCACACUGGAACUGAGACACGGUCCAGACACCUACGGGAGGCUG